CCUACGGGAGGCUGCAGUGAGGAAUAUUGGUCAAUGGACGAGAGUCUGAACCAGCCAAGUAGUGUGAAGGAUGACUGCCCUAUGGGUUGUAAACUUCUUUUAUAUGGGAAUAAAAUGUUCCACGUGUGGGAUUUUGUAUGUACCAUAUGAAUAAGGAUCGGCUAACUCCGUGCCAGCAGCCGCGGUAAUACGGAGGAUCCGAGCGUUAUCCGGAUUUAUUGGGUUUAAAGGGAGCGUAGGUGGAUUGUUAAGUCAGUUGUGAAAGUUUGCGGCUCAACCGUAGAAUUGCAGUUGAAACUGGUAGACUAGAGAACAGUAGAGGUAGGCGGAAUGUGUGGUGUAGCGGUGAAAUGCUUAGAUAUCACGAAGAACUCCGAUUGCGAAGGCAGUUCACUGAACUGCAACUGACACUGAGGCUCGAAAGUGUGGGUAGCAAACAGGAUUAGAUACCCUAGUAGUC
rnacentral:rRNA from 1 species